rnacentral:rRNA from 1 species
UACAGAGGGUGCGAGCGUUAAUCGGAAUUACUGGGCGUAAAGCGCGCGUAGACGGUUUUGUAAGUCAGAUGUGAAAUCCCCGGGCUCAACCUGGGAACUGCAUUUGAUACUGCAUGGCUAGAGUACGGUAGAGGGAAGCGGAAUUUCCGGUGUAGCGGUGAAAUGCGUAGAUAUCGGAAGGAACACCAGUGGCGAAAGCGGCUUCCUGGACCAGUACUGACGUUCAUGUGCGAAAGCGUGGGGAGCAAACAGG